rnacentral:rRNA from 1 species
UACGUAGGGUGCGAGCGUUAAUCGGAAUUACUGGGCGUAAAGCGUGCGCAGGCGGUUCGUUGUGUCGGCGGUGAAAGCCCCGGGCUCAACCCUGGGAAUGGCCGUUGAAACUGGCGAACUGGAGUGUGGCAGAGGGGGGGUGGAAUUCCGCGUGUAGCAGUGAAAUGCGUAGAGAUGCGGAGGAACACCGAUGGCGAAGGCAGCCCCCCUGGGCUAACACUGACGCUCAGGCACGAAAGCGUGGGGGAGCAAACAGG